CUUGAACGCUGGCGGCAGGCCUAACACAUGCAAGUCGAGCUGAGCGGCGGACGGGUGUGUAAUGCCUAGGAAUCUGCCUGGUAGUGGGGGAUAACGUCCGCACCGGGCGCUAAUACCGCAUACUCUCAGAUGAGCCCAGGUCGGAUUAGCUAGUUGGUGGGGUAAGGGCUUACCAAUGCGACGAUCCGUCACUGGUCUGAGAGGAUGAUCAGUCACGCUGGGACUGAGACACGGACAAGAGUCCUACGGGAGGCAGCAGUGGUGAAUAUUGGACAAUGGGCGAAAGCCUGAGCCAGCCAUGCCGCGUGGGUGAAGAAGGUCGUCGGAUUGUAAAGCACUUUAAGGUGGGAGGCGGUACCAACAGAAUAGGCACCGGCUAACUUCGUGACAGCCGCCGCGGUAAUUC
rnacentral:rRNA from 1 species